rnacentral:rRNA from 1 species
AUGCAGAACAAAAUACGGGCCGUCUACGAGGCUAUCACGUGCACCCGGAGAAGCGACAUUGUUCAGCACCAGCUACAGCAGCCGCGUCCCUCCAUGCACCGACAUCAACCACAUCCACGUCUAGCACAUCAGCCGACGACCAGGCCACCCCCUCCUGAACAACCUGGCAGUUCAUCAUGGGAGCACCCACAGCACUUUGGUCCCACAUCAAGCUUCGUGUUUUCUCCACAGCCACAGCACCACGGUCCCUCGUCGAGCUUUGUGUUUGAGCCAGAGCAGCCGUCACAGCCAGCAGGUUUCAUGACUUCAAGUUCCGUCGUGCAGGAGCCUAUGGAUAUCAUGCGUCUAUGUCGGCAUCACAUGAUACGUGGGGGAGUGAUCAACAUCCCGAGGAGAACAUACAGGCCCACAUAG